rnacentral:lncRNA from 1 species
CUCACACCUAUGAUCCCAACACUUUGGGAGGCCAAGAUUCUAAGGAUCUAAUAUACCGCAUGGUGACUACAGUUAAUAAUACUGUAUAGCAUAUUUGAAAUUUGCUAAGAAGAUUUUAAGUGUUCUCACCACACACAAAAAAAGGUAACUGGGUGACAUGUAUUAAUUAGCUUGAUUGUGGUAAUCAUUUUACAGUGUAUAUUAGAUCAUCACAAUGUAUACCUUAAAUAUAUAUAAUUUUUAUGUGUCAAUUAUAAAGAAAAUCUUUGAUCAUUAAGGAAGCUGAAUAUCCUGCUAUAUCUAACUCAAGCUGAGAAGGGGGAAAAAGCACAAUAGCUAACACUUAGAACACUCCAAGUUGUGUUUUAAGUGCUUUUCAUAUAUUAAAUUCAUGUAAUUCCCAUAACAAUCCUGUGACUGGGCACUAUUAUCAUCAUUAAUCUCCAUCUUAUAUUAAUAGAUGGGGAGACUGAGUGAUAGAGAAGUAACUUGCUUUAAGGGCAUGGGGCAGAGCUGGGAUUUGAACCCAGGUAGCCUAGCACCAGGCUGCAUGCUCUGCCAGGAGGCUGUGCUUCCUCUGUAGUAAGGUGGCCUGUCCCUCUCAACUCUUUCCAUCACUGGGCACAAAGCUACUGCAUCAGCUGUCCUCCAUAUUUAAAACUCAGGUAUACUCUUUGAUGAAACUCUACCUUUAGAGCUUCUACCCACACUACCAAGUCCCAACAAUACCAAAACACUCAUAAGGGAUCUGGCCCAAAGCAAACUGUUCCACAUUACUACUUGGUAGAAAACGAAAAGCUCCUUUUUGAUUUUUCACACUCUGGACAUUUUAGUGUGUCAUGACCCAGUCUGAUAACCUUUUAUGUCUCUUAAGCAUUUUGUUGUGUUUGUAACUUUUUACCCCCUAAUUCAUUUUCACUGUCCUGCAAAGAGUUGGAAUAAAUUAAAUGUCUAACAA